rnacentral:rRNA from 1 species
GACGAACGCUGGCGGCGUGCUUAACACAUGCAAGUCGAACGGAAAGGCCCUGCUUUUGCGGGGUGCUCGAGUGGCGAACGGGUGAGUAACACGUGAGUAACCUGCCCUUGACUUUGGGAUAACUUCAGGAAACUGGGGCUAAUACCGGAUAGGAGCUCCUGCUGCGUGGUGGGGGUUGGAAAGUUUCGGCGGUUGGGGAUGGACUCGCGGCUUAUCAGCUUGUUGGUGGGGUAGUGGCUUACCAAGGCUUUGACGGGUAGCCGGCCUGAGAGGGUGACCGGCCACAUUGGGACUGAGAUACGGCCCAGACUCCUACGGGAGGCAGCAGUGGGGAAUAUUGCACAAUGGGCGGAAGCCUGAUGCAGCAACGCCGCGUGCGGGAUGACGGCCUUCGGGUUGUAAACCGCUUUCGCCUGUGACGAAGCGUGAGUGACGGUAAUGGGUAAAGAAGCACCGGCUAACUACGUGCCAGCAGCCGCGGUGAUACGUAGGGUGCGAGCGUUGUCCGGAUUUAUUGGGCGUAAAGGGCUCGUAGGUGGUUGAUCGCGUCGGAAGUGUAAUCUUGGGGCUUAACCCUGAGCGUGCUUUCGAUACGGGUUGACUUGAGGAAGGUAGGGGAGAAUGGAAUUCCUGGUGGAGCGGUGGAAUGCGCAGAUAUCAGGAGGAACACCAGUGGCGAAGGCGGUUCUCUGGGCCUUUCCUGACGCUGAGGAGCGAAAGCGUGGGGAGCGAACAGGCUUAGAUACCCUGGUAGUCCACGCUGUAAACGGUGGGUACUAGGUGUGGGGUCCAUUCCACGGGUUCCGUGCCGUAGCUAACGCUUUAAGUACCCCGCCUGGGGAGUACGGCCGCAAGGCUAAAACUCAAAGGAAUUGACGGGGCCCCGCACAAGCGGCGGAGCAUGCGGAUUAAUUCGAUGCAACGCGUAGAACCUUACCUGGGUUUGACAUGGAUCGGGAGCGCUCAGAGAUGGGUGUGCCUCUUUUGGGGUCGGUUCACAGGUGGUGCAUGGCUGUCGUCAGCUCGUGUCGUGAGAUGUUGGGUUAAGUCCCGCAACGAGCGCAACCCUUGUUCACUGUUGCCAGCACGUUAUGGUGGGGACUCAGUGGAGACCGCCGGGGUCAACUCGGAGGAAGGUGGGGAUGACGUCAAGUCAUCAUGCCCCUUAUGUCCAGGGCUUCACGCAUGCUACAAUGGCUGGUACAGAGAGUGGCGAGCCUGUGAGGGUGAGCGAAUCUCGGAAAGCCGGUCUCAGUUCGGAUUGGGGUCUGCAACUCGACCUCAUGAAGUCGGAGUCGCUAGUAAUCGCAGAUCAGCAACGCUGCGGUGAAUACGUUCCCGGGGCU